rnacentral:rRNA from 1 species
GUCCACGCCGUAAACGAUGGAUACUAGCUGUUGGGCGCAAGUUCAGUGGCUAAGCGAAAGUGAUAAGUAUCCCACCUGGGGAGUACGUUCGCAAGAAUGAAACUCAAAGGAAUUGACGGGGCCCGCACAAGCGGUGGAGCAUGUGGUUUAAUUCGAUGAUACGCGAGGAACCUUACCAAGGCUUAAAUGUAGACUGACCGGUUUGGAAACAGACCUUUCGCAAGACAGUUUACAAGGUGCUGCAUGGUUGUCGU